AGUAGGGGGACUUUGAGUUGCAGAUUAUUGCAGACUAAGCAGUCUGGCUAUGCAGCAGCAAAAGCGGAGGCCCUGGGAAAUCGGCCAGAGACCAUCAAAAUUAGCUCAUUAAUUCAAAAUAUACAGCACAGGCAAAGCAAAGCCCAACCCUGGCCAGAGGAGAGGCAGGCAGAGACUUUGUUACUCCCUUCUUUCAGGGCUGUACUUCUUCCUAGAAGUACAAGCACUUCUCUCCUGAGGAGAUCCCUUAUACAAAAUGCCCCCCUCAAAGCCACCUCUUUGCUAACUAUGUAGAACUAAGGACAGAUAGUGGAAGCAGUGAGCAGGGGCGUCUGUCUAUUGUUCUUCUUAUGCUAUUGGUCACAAUGCAGUCACACGACUGCUGCCAGAUUGUUAGAAUGGUUGUCCAACCAAAACUAACACUCUGCAGUGGUUGGGACCCUUAUGAAACUGCACUGAAGGAUUGGAGAUUUCCUAAGGGAUAUCUUCAUCGAACGGAGACCAAUCUCAAGAAGAGCAAUGAGGCCGACACAUUCCUGACUCUAGAAAAUGGCCGUGGAAAUCAUUUCACUGAAAUUAAUUACCUCUGCCUUUUUUAAUCAUAUAUCUUCCAUUUGUAGUACUUUUGAUUUAUGGUUGUUGAUAUUUUCAUGGUAUCAUAUAUUGGGGAUUGUUCCUAUGUAAAUCAUCAAAUGUAAGAAUCUCUGGGACUCUGAGCCUUGCUUUAGAGAAUUAUAACGGACAACAUGUACCAUUUAUCAGUUUUAACAGUCUAUAGUAAGUGAUCUCUUCACACUGUGAAUCCAUGUUUACACACAGUACAGGUGGGCCUCCAGGCCUGUUUCUUCUACAUCAAUGUCUUCCUCUAAAACAACAGCACAGUUCACAGGAAACAAAGAUUUCAGGCUUUUCAUUUCUACAACUACAGUUUGCUUUUUAAGUGAAAAACAAAGACAGUACCUUUGCAGAGGCUAAGAGUCCCCCUUUUAUUAUUUUUGUACUCACACAUAGAUGUAGCAUACUUGUUUAUUUUCGUUCAUUGUCUGUAUAUCUCUAUAUUUUAUCCAUGUACACUUUUGAUGUAUAGAAAUAGUUGUUUGAAACACAUUGUUUCCUUGUGGUAAGUAACCGAGAAGCUGCCACGGGAUAUGAGACACUGAUGAAUGGUGCUAUUUUGGAUUUUUAAACAUGCUCCUUGGCAAGGUAGCUCUGAUGGGAGUUAUUUUUAUUUUUAUGUUCUACGAAGGUGUUGGUACUUUUUCCUGAUUGUUGUUCUGUAGGCCGGACUACAUUUUUUUGUGUCCUCAGUGUGGCUUUUUUUUAGGAUGAAUACCUGCUAACAAAGCAAGUAAGAAGAUUUCUUUUUUUCUGGGUAGAUAAACCAACAAGCAACUGUUGUAGCGGGAGCAAUCACAAAACUGUAAUUUGCUUGAAGAGACUAUAAAGUCAAAAAAUUUCUGUCAUGCAUUUUAAAAAAAAAAAUCAAGUUUUCAAAAUGAACAGGCAAUCUGAAGUUUUGUAAUCUUACACUUUCUCCUGCAGCAUAUGUAUGGGAAAUGCUUUAACAUGCUCUCUGUGACCAGAACGAGCCUUGAUUGGUCAUCACUAAUCUAAGCAAUGUAUUAAUUACUCCUAUAUUAAUCAUAACAAUAUUAUUAUCUAUGUCCCAAUCAAAGACCAAAAUUGGGCAUCUAUAGCUAUUCUGUGAUAAAAAUGGCAAUUUCCAAAUUUAAGAUUGCUAAAAAAAAAUGUGUACAAAUAAUUUAUCUUAAAAACAUCCUUUUUAAUGAAUGAUAGAAAAUGCAAGAUUUUCCUGUCUCUUUAAUAAUUUUUUAGUCAUGCCCCAUUUAUACAUUAGAGAACAAUAGCAAUAAUUUCACUAGUCUUGUAAAACAAAAAAAAUCUUUUAACUUUUCUCUAUUUUGUAUUUCUUUUUAGAAGGAUUACUUAAAGAAAGGGGCAGGUUUCUAAAUUUCCUGUGAUCCGUGGCAGUUAUGACUUUUAAGAGAGAGGCAGCUAACAAUUUUGCAAUUUAUUUUAGAAAAGAAUGUCAGAAAAAAAAUAAAAACCUGAAAUAAUUUCUGAAUUUUACACUUUUGUUCUUGCUCUCAGUGACAUAACAAGCAACCUACUCAUGGAAUGUUGUUGUGUUAGACACAAUCUGGAAGCCCACCUUAAUCUUUUUUUUUUUUUUUAAAUAUAUAUAAAUAUAUAUAUAUAUAUAUAUAAAAACUCUGUCUUUAGCUCUUCCGUCGCAGGACAGACAUUGUUUUGAACUGAUUUCGCUUUUGACUGUUAAAUAACGUGCAUGCUUAGCUUAGAUUAUUUUUUUUCCUCUAACGUUUUUUUUCUUUUUUUGAGUGUACUAGAAAAUGUCAGCUGUGCUGUAUAUAAUAGAGCAAAUAAGUCAGUAUUAAGCAGUUGUGGCACUUACGUAUGGUUGCAGUUGUGUAUUGAUAAAAUGCAAGCUUUUUGUAAAAAUGUGAUCUUUAAUGAUGCACUACAAGUACCCUAUGUAUUUGAACUAUUUUAGUAGAAUUUGUUCAAUAAAUAUGCAAGCUCUG